rnacentral:rRNA from 1 species
GAACGCUAGCGACAGGCUAACACAUGCAAGUCGAGGGGUAACAGGGUAGCAAUACCGCUGACGACCGGCGCACGGGUGAGUAACGCGUAUGCAACCUGCCUAUAACUAGGGGGAAUAGCUCCCUGAAGGGGGGAAUUAACACCGCAUAACACUAUUGAUUCGCAUGGAUUGGUAGUUAAAUGUAGCGAUACAGGUUAUAGAUGGGCAUGCGUGACAUUAGCUAGUUGGUGAGGUAACGGCUCACCAAGGCUACGAUGUCUAGGGGUUCUGAGAGGAAGGUCCCCCACACUGGUACUGAGACACGGACCAGACUCCUACGGGAGGCAGCAGUGAGGAAUAUUGGUCAAUGGGCGCAAGCCUGAACCAGCCAUGUCGCGUGCAGGAAGACUGCCCUAUGGGUUGUAAACUGCUUUUAUAGUAGAAGAAACACAUCUACGUGUAGAUGUCUGCCAGUAUACUAUGAAUAAGCAUCGGCUAACUCCGUGCCAGCAGCCGC